rnacentral:misc_RNA from 1 species
GGGAGACCAAAAUUACAGAUAAAACAACAGAGGAUGUGUAACAACUUUGUUAGUUUGAGAAAAUGAAAGUCAUAAACUUGUAUGCUACACCAGAAAAUUUUUUAUUUACAAAAAAUAUUAGUCUGUGCUGAUAUCAUUUGACUAGCCCCAGGCAUGACCAACUUUGAAAUAAUAUGACACUGCUCACAGAAAAUGAAGGAGAAAGAGAUGCUUUGCAAGCACGCAAGUUUAUGACACAACAAGCAUGCAUGACAUGGAGCCAUCCAUACAUGCAUGCAAACUAGUUU